rnacentral:rRNA from 1 species
GACAGAGGUGCCAAGCGUUAGGCGGAAUCACUGGGCGUAAAGGGUGCGUAGGCGGGUCUUUAAGUCAGGGGUGAAAUCCUGGAGCUCAACUCCAGAACUGCCUUUGAUACUGAAGAUCUUGAGUUCGGGAGAGGUGAGUGGAACUGCGAGUGUAGAGGUGAAAUUCGUAGAUAUUCGCAAGAACACCAGUGGCGAAGGCGGCUCACUGGCCCAUAACUGACGCUGAGGCACGAAAGCGUGGGGAGCAAACAGG